GAGGUUCGAAGGCGAUCAGAUACCGCCCUAGUUCUAACCAUAAACGAUGCCAGCCAGCGAUCCGGCUGUGUUCCUCAAAUGACACGCCGGGCAGCUUCCGGGAAACCAAAGCUUUUGGGUUCCGGGGGAAGUAUGGUUGCAAAGCUGAAACUUAAAGGAAUUGACGGAGGGCUACCACCAGACGUGGAGCUUGCGGUUCAAUUUGACUCAACGCAGCGAACCCUACCAGGCCAGGACACAGGAAGGAUUGACAGAUUAAGAGCUCUUUCUUGAUUUUGUGGGUAGUGGUGCAUGGCCGCUCUUGGUUCGUGAAGUGAUUUGUCUGGUUAAUUCUGAUAACGGACGAGGCUCUAGCCUACUAAAUAGACGCUCGGAUCAUUCCUAGUCCGGCGUUUCUUCUUAGAGGGACUGGUGGCGUUUAGCCGCACGAGGAAGAGCAAUAGCAGGUCUGUAAUGCCCUUAGAUGUCCUGGGCCACACGCGUGCUACAUUGAAGGAAUCAUCGUGUGCUUUCCCUUUCCGACAGGAAUGGGUAACCCGUUGAACCUCCUUCGUGCUGGGGAUAGGGGAUUGCAAUUAUCCCCCUUGAACGAGGAACGCCUAGUAAGCGCGAGUCAUCAUCUCGCGUUGAUUAGGUCCCUGGCCCUUGUCCACACCGCCCGUCGCUAUUACCGAUUGAAUGUCUUAGUGAGGACUUCGGAUUGGCUGUCGAUUUGGCCUUAGGGUCGAGCCGACGUGCCGAAAAGAUGUCCGAACUUGGUCAUUUAGAGGAAAUA
rnacentral:rRNA from 1 species